AAGACUAUAGACCUGCGGAGUACCUGCGGAGGGAUCAUUACCGAGUUAUCCAACUCCCAACCCCUGUGAAUCAUACCUUUAAUUGUUGCUUCGGCGGGACUUCGCGCCCGCCGGGGACCCAAACCUUCUGAAUUUUUUAAUAAGUAUCUUCUGAGUGGUUAAAAAAAAUGAAUCAAAACUUUCAGCAAUGGAUCUCU
rnacentral:misc_RNA from 1 species